rnacentral:rRNA from 1 species
CCUACGGGUGACAGCAGUGGGGAAUAUUGCACAAUGGGGGCAACCCUGAUGCAGCAACGCCGCGUGAGGGAAGACGGUUUUCGGAUUGUAAACUUCUGUUCUUAGUGAAGAAUAAUGACGGUAUCUAAGCCUCAAGCCACGGCUAACUACGUGCCAGAAGCCCCGGUAAUACGGAGGUGGCAAGCGUUGUCCGGAAUUACUGGGUGUAAAGGGAGCGCAGGCGGGAAGCCAAGUCAGCUGUGAAAACUACGGGCUUAACUUGUAGACUGCAGUUGAAACUGGUAGUCUAGAGUGAAGUAGAGGGUGGCGGAAUUCCGAGUGUAGCGGUGAAAUGCGUAGAUAUUCGGAGGAACACCGGUGGCGAAGGCGGCCAACUGGACUUUAACUGACGCUGAGGCUCGAAAGUGUGGGGAGCAAACAGGAUUAGAUACCCGAGUAGUC